rnacentral:rRNA from 1 species
AUUGAACGCUGGCGGCAGGCCUAACACAUGCAAGUCGGGCGAGUGGCGGACGGGUGAGUAAUGUCUGGGGAACUGCCUGAUGGAGGGGGAUAACUACUGGAAACGGUAGCUAAUACCGCAUACCAUCAGAUGUACCCAUAUGGGAUUAGCUAGUAGGUAAGGUAACGGCUUACCUAGGCGACGAUCCCUAGCUGGUCUGAGAGGAUGACCAGCCACACUGGGACUGAGACACGGCCCAGACUCCUACGGGAGGCAGCAGUGGGGAAUAUUGCACAAUGGGCGCAAGCCUGAUGCAGCCAUGCCGCGUGUAUGAAGAAGGCCUUCGGGUUGUAAAGUACUUUCAGUGGGGAGGCGUUACCGGCAGAAGAAGCACCGGCUAACUCCGUGCCAGCAGCCGCGGUAAUAC